rnacentral:rRNA from 1 species
GAUCCUGGCUCAGGAUGAACGCUAGCUACAGGCUAACACAUGCAAGUCGAGGGGCAGCAUGUUGGUUGCUGCAACCAAUGAUGGCGACCGGCGCACGGGUGAGUAACGCGUAUCCAACCUUCCCUAUAGUAGAGGAUAGCCCGGCGAAAGUCGGAUUAAUACUCUAUGUUUUCCAAUGCAGACAUCUAAGUUGGAACAAAGGUUCACCGCUAUAGGAUGGGGGAUGCGUCUGAUUAGAUAGUCGGCGGGGUAACGGCCCACCGAGUCGACGAUCAGUAGGGGUUCUGAGAGGAAGGUCCCCCACAUUGGAACUGAGACACGGUCCAAACUCCUACGGGAGGCAGCAGUGAGGAAUAUUGGUCAAUGGGCGAGAGCCUGAACCAGCCAAGUAGCCGUGCAGGAUGACGGCCCUAUGGGUUGUAAACUGCUUUUAUACAGGGAUAAAGUGACGUACGUGUACGUUAUUGUAGGUACUGUAUGAAUAAGGACCGGCUAAUUCCGUGCCAGCCGCGGC